rnacentral:rRNA from 2 species
GCAGCAGGCACGCAAAUUACCCACUCCCGGCACGGGGAGGUAGUGACAAAAAAUAACGAUACGGGACUCUAUUGAGGCCCCGUAAUCGGAAUGAGUACACUUUAAAUCCUUUAACAAGGAUCCAUUGGAGGGCAAGUCUGGUGCCAGCAGCCGCGGUAAUUCCAGCUCCAAUAGCGUAUAUUAAAGUUGUUGCGGUUAAAAAGCUCGUAGUUGGUUCUGCGUGCCACGCUGUCGGUUCGCCGCCUGUCGGUGUAACUGGCAUGUCGUGGCAUGUCCUGUCGGUGGUGAACGGGGUUCCUGGUACGACGUAGGCUUUUAUAGCUGAAAUCUGUACCGUGUGUAGCUCCGUUUGCCGAUCUCUCCUACUCCGGUGCUCUUAAACGAGUGUCGAGGUAGGCCGACACGUUCACUUUGAACAAAUUAGAGUGCUUAAAGCAGGCUAAAAUAUCUGCCUGAAUAGUGGUGCAUGGAAUGAUAAAACAGGACCUCGGUUCUAUUUUGUUGGUUUUAGGAAUAUGAGGUAAUGAUCAAUGUGGACUGGCGGGGGCAUUCGUAUUGCGACGUUAGAGGUGAAAUUCUUGGAUCGUCGCAAGACGCACUAGAGCGAAAGCAUUUGCCAAGUAUGUCUUAAUUGAUCAAGAACGAAAGUUAGAGGUUCGAAGGCGAUCAGAUACCGCCCUAGUUCUAACCAUAAACGAUGCCAGCCAGCGAUCCGCCGAUGUUCCUUUAAUGACUCGGCGGGGAGCUUCUACUCGGGAAACCAAAGCUUUUGGGUUCCGGGGGAAGUAUGGUUGCAAAGCUGAAACUUAAAGGAAUUGACGGAAGGGCACCACCAGGAGUGGAGCCUGCGGCUUAAUUUGACUCAACACGGGAAACCUCACCAGGCCAGGACAUUGGAAGGAUUGACAGAUUGAUAGCUCUUUCUUGAUUCAGUGGGUAGUGGUGCAUGGCCGUUC